rnacentral:rRNA from 1 species
UGAGCAAUCUGCCCUUCUCUUUGGAAUAAGCGUUGGAAACGACGUCUAAUGCCGAAUACGACCUCCUUUCGCAUGAUCGGAGGUGGAAAGCUCCGGCGGAGAAGGAUGAGCUCGCGGCCUAUCAGCUAGUUGGUGUGGGUAAUGGCCCACCAAGGCGACGACGGGUAGCCGGCCUGAGAGGGUGACCGGCCACACUGGGACUGAGACACGGCCCAGACUCCGUACGGGAGNAGCG